rnacentral:lncRNA from 1 species
GACUGACUAAGCCACCAAUGGACACUAUUUUUGUCUGAUUCACAGUGGAUUCUGGUAGACCUGUUCCUCGGUGUACAUGUUUUAUAAAUGGAUUCAUUGUGUAUUUCUAUGUUUGUGGAAUCAUUCUAGGAAUAGAUUUCUUUUUUUUUUAUUCAAUAGGUUUAUUUUACAAAUAACAGGAGGGAUGUUUUAUAGAGAUACAUGGGAGAAGCAGAGAAGCAGAAGAGUUACCUGAAACCCACCACCCAGAAAUAGUCUCUGUUUACUGUUAACUAUUGCUUUCAGACUUAGUGCACAAUAUGUAAAUAGUUUGUUCACAACCGGCUACUGCUGUUGCAUCCUAGUCUGUUAAAUGUUGUUCUUACAUGAUAAAAUAGUGAGCAUAAUACUCUAGGAUUGGCCUGGGAGGCGACGCAUUGCAAAAUUUAAAGCUCCUACAUGGCUCUUCUGGGAUUUUGAGCAACUUGAAGGAAAGAGAUUCUUACUUGUAAAGAGAAGCCAGGGUUUGCUGCACAUAAAAUUAGCGGUUGAUUUCUCUGACACAAUUGCUUCCCUUCCAAAUGUUUAAAUACUAAAGUAUUUAGAAGGAAAGACCUGAUCUAUUUCAUUGAAAAGGAUGAUCAUAUCAUAUUUCAGGGCAUUUACCAAAGAGGAAAAUAUAUUCCUUAAAUGUUUUCAACCAUAGGAAGGAGCCAUAAUACUGUCAGAAAUCUUACAGAUGUAAAAGUUAAAAGUGAAGGUAGAUUUUACAGAUUUUAACAUGAAUGUAAUAUCUGAAUGCAUGUAUAAAAGCACAUAUUUAAAUUUUUGUGUACCUGUAUACUAUAAUAUGGAUAACUACAUUUUAAUUAUUUAAACUAUUCAUUUUCUAUAAACUGUGUUACUAUGUGUGUUUGUUUAAAUGUCUGUGCACCCACACAUGCAUGUACACUGUAUACUUGGAACAUUAUACAUGUUCAUCUGUAGACAUGCUUCAUAUUUUGCUAACUGAUGGUUAAUGCUAAGCUGGAGAUUUCUACUGUAGAGCUUUUGGAGAGGGAAAAUUAACUGCCUUUGAUGU